ACGGGAGGCAGCAGUGGGGAAUAUUGCACAAUGGGGGAAACCCUGAUGCAGCGACGCCGCGUGAAGGAAGAAGUAUCUCGGUAUGUAAACUUCUAUCAGCAGGGAAGAUAGUGACGGUACCUGACUAAGAAGCCCCGGCUAACUACGUGCCAGCAGCCGCGGUAAUACGUAGGGGGCAAGCGUUAUCCGGAUUUACUGGGUGUAAAGGGAGCGUAGACGGCAAAGCAAGUCUGAAGUGAAAUCCCGGGGCUCAACCCUGGAACUGCUUUGGAAACUGUUUAGCUAGAGUGCAGGAGAGGUAAGUGGAAUUCCUAGUGUAGCGGUGAAAUGCGUAGAUAUUAGGAGGAACACCAGUGGCGAAGGCGGCUUACUGGACUGUAACUGACGUUGAGGCUCGAAAGCGUGGGGAGCAAACAGGAUUAGAUACCCUGGUA
rnacentral:rRNA from 1 species